CGCCUAACACAUGCAAGUCGAACGCAGUAGCAAUACUGAGUGGCAAACGGGUGAGUAUAAUGUGGGAAUCUGCCUUUUGGUUUGGAAUAACACGGGGAAACUUGUGCUAAUACCGAAUAAGCCCUUACGGGGAAAGUUUUAAUGCCGAAAGAUGAGCCCGCACUUGAUUAGCUAGUUGGUAAGGUAAAAGCUUACCAAGGCAACGAUCAAUAGCUGUUCUUAGAGGAAGACCAGCCACAUUGGGACUGAGACACGGCCCAGACUCCUACGGGAGGCAGCAGUGGGGAAUCUUGCACAAUGGGGGAAACCCUGAUGCAGCGAUGCCGCGUGAGUGAAGAAGGCCCUUGGGUUGUAAAACUCUUUCGUCGGGGAAGAAAAUGACUGUACCCGAAUAAGAAGGUCCGGCUAACUUCGUGCC
rnacentral:rRNA from 1 species